GCCGCUCGAAACUUUGCACACCUCUACGCGGUGGGCGGCAGGCAACGCUAGUAUAGCGGCUAAGAAUGCAGAG
rnacentral:ribozyme from 1 species